rnacentral:rRNA from 1 species
AUGUCAUCAGUAGGAUUAGGGGCUUCUUCUGCUGCCGCAACCGGAAGAACACGAAAAAACCCAACCUGGGAGCAUGCUUUACCAAUUAUUGAUGAAUUCAGAACCAAGAACAGAGUUGGAUGCAGAUACUGCUUGAACUUUUUCAAUGGUGGCAUUACCAGAUUUAAGAAGCACUUGGCUGGAAUAAAAAAGAAUUAUGUAUGUUGCCGACAGGUUCCUGAUCAUGUUAAAGAGCAGAUGCUUACAUUGAUAGCUGAGAAUGAGAAAAAGAAGGAUAAAUCACUGAACAAAAUGUUGGAGUUGCAAGAGGAGGUUAGAGAGAUGUAUGGUCAGAGUGGGAAUGAGGAUUCAGAUUGUACAAUCGUUGAUUAUCUUGCUACUACAGCAAGUGGAAGCUCUCAAGUUCCUAAGAAGCCUCAGACCAAGGGUCCAAUGGAUAAGUAUCGAGCACGGCCAGGAUUGGGAAAGCAAACUACAGUGAAUGCACAUUACAAGGUCAAAGAAGCAAAGAUAACUUAUGAUUAUAUCUGUGACUUCUUUAUUAAUGGUGCCCUUCUCAUAACAUUGCUAGUCUUACAUCAUUUGCUCGAACGGUAG